AGGAAGUAAAAGUCGUAACAAGGUUUCCGUAGGUGAACCUGCGGAAGGAUCAUUAUUGAAAAUAAAUCUGAUGGGUUGCUGCUGGUUCUCUAGAGAGCAUGUGCACACUUGUCAUCUUUAUAUCUCCACCUGUGCAUCUUUUGUAGACCUGGAUAUCUCUCUAAGUGUUAGCACUUAGGUUUGAGGAUUGAUUUUUUGUCUCUCCUUACAUUUUCAGGUCUAUGUUUUCUUCAUAUACCCAAUGUAUGUUAUUGAAUGUAAUAAAUGGGCCUUUGUGCCUAUAAACCUUAUACAACUUUCAGCAACGGAUCUCUUGGCUCUCGCAUCGAUGAAGAACGCAGCGAAAUGCGAUAAGUAAUGUGAAUUGCAGAAUUCAGUGAAUCAUCGAAUCUUUGAACGCACCUUGCGCUCCUUGGUAUUCCGAGGAGCAUGCCUGUUUGAGUGUCAUUGAUAUAUCAACCUCCUCAGCUUUUGCUUGUUGAGUGUUGGAUGUGGGGGGGCUUCCUUUUGCUGGUCUCUCUCUGAGGUCAGCUCCCCUGAAAUACAUUAGCGGAACAAUUUGUAGACCCGUCCAUUGGUGUGAUAACUAUCUACGCUAUUGACGCGAAUCAAGUUCAGCUUCCAACAGUCCAUUUACUUGGACAAAUUUUUAUUAAUGUGACCUCAAAUCAGGUAGGACUACCCGCUGAACUUAAGCAUAUCA
rnacentral:rRNA from 1 species